rnacentral:tRNA from 1 species
AAACUAAAUACUCUUGUAGCUUAAGCCCAAAGC